UACAGAGACUGCGAGCGUUAUUCGGAUUCACUGGGCGUAAAGGGUGCGCAGGCGGCCGAGUGUGUGAGGCGUGAAAGCCCGGGGCUUAACCCCGGAAUUGCACCUCAAACUACACGGCUAGAGCAUUGGAGAGGGUAGCAGAAUUCAUGGUGUAGCAGUGAAAUGCGUAGAUAUCAUGAGGAAUACCAGAGGCGAAGGCGGCUACCUGGACAAUUGCUGACGCUCAGGCACGAAAGCGUGGGGAGCGAACAGG
rnacentral:rRNA from 1 species